rnacentral:rRNA from 1 species
GACGAACGCUGGCGGCGUGCUUAACACAUGCAAGUCGAACGAGACGAUCGAAAGCUUGCUUUCGAAAGUCGAGUGGCAAACGGGUGAGUAACGCGUAGACAACCUGCCUUUGAGAUGGGGACAACAGUUCGAAAGGACUGCUAAUACCGAAUGUUGUAUAUUUUCCACAUGGAAGAUAUAUUAAAGAUGGCCUCUAUUUAUAAGCUAUCGCUCAAAGAUGGGUCUGCGUCUGAUUAGCUAGUUGGUGGGGUAACGGCCUACCAAGGCGACGAUCAGAAGCCGGUCUGGGAGGAUGAACGGCCACCUUGGGACUGGAACACGGCCCAGACUCCGACGGGAGGCAGCAGUGGGGAAUCUUCCACAAUGGACGAAAGUCUGAUGGAGCAACGCCGCGUGAGUGAAGAAGGGUUUCGGCUCGUAAAGCUCUGUUGUCGGGGACGAAUGUGCAUUACUUGAAUAAAGUAGUGUAAUGACGGUACCUGACGAGGAAGCCACGGCUAACUACGUGCCAGCCGCCGCCGUAA